GACGAACGCUGGCGGCGCGCUUAACACAUGCAAGUCGAACGGAAAGGCCUGCUUUCCCUUGUGGAUUGCGGGUACUCGAGUGGCGAACGGGUGAGUAACACGUGAGUGAUCUGCCCCCAACUUGGGUAUAAGCCUGGGAAACUGGGUCUAAUUCCCGAUAGGACUGCAGGGUGGUGCCUGUGGUGGCAAACGAUUUUCUAGUGGUUGGGGAUGAGCUCGCAGCCUAUCAGCUUGUUGGUGGGGUAAUGGCCUACCAAGGCGGCGACGGGUAGCCGGCCUGGGGGGGCGGACGGGCGCAGUGGGACUGAGAUACGGCGCAGACGCCAACGGGAGGCAGCAUAGGGGAAUAUUGCACAAGGAGCGGAAGCCUGAGGCAGCGACGCCGCGGGGGGGAUGACGGCCUUCGGAUUAUAAACUCCUUUCGACCGCGAGGAAGCCACCUGGUUGGAAGGGGGGUGACGGUAGUGGUAGAAGAAGCACCGGCUAACUACGUG
rnacentral:rRNA from 1 species